rnacentral:rRNA from 1 species
AUACGUAGGUGGCGAGCGUUGUCCGGAAUUACUGGGUGUAAAGGGCGUGUAGGCGGGACUGCAAGUCAGAUGUGAAAUAUCACGGCUCAACUGUGGGGGUGCAUCUGAAACUGUAGUUCUUGAGUACUGGAGAGGGAAGCGGAAUUCCUAGUGUAGCGGUGAAAUGCGUAGAUAUUAGGAGGAACACCAGUGGCGAAGGCGACUUCCUGGACUGUAACUGACGCUGAGGCGCGAAAGCUAGGGGAGCAAACAGGAUUAGAUACCCUGGUAGUCCUAGCCGUAAACGAUGGGUACUAGGUGUUGGGGGUGACAAUCCUCCAGUGCCGCAGUUAACGCAUUAAGUACCCCGCCUGGGGAGUACGGCCGCAAGGCUGAA